GUGGGGAAUAUUGGACAAUGGGCGGAAGCCUGAUCCAGCAACGCCGCGUGAGGGAUGACGGCCUUCGGGUUGUAAACCUCUUUCGCCUAUGACGAAGCGCCUGUUGUGGGUGGUGACGGUAGUAGGAGAAGAAGCACCGGCCAACUACGUGCCAGCAGCCGCGGUAAUACGUAGGGUGCGAGCGUUGUCCGGAAUUAUUGGGCGUAAAGGGCUCGUAGGCGGUUUGUCGCGUCGGGAGUGAAAACACUGGGCUUAACCGAGUGCUUGCUUUCGAUACGGGCAGACUAGAGGCAUUCAGGGGAGAACGGAAUUCCUGGUGUAGCGGUGAAAUGCGCAGAUAUCAGGAGGAACACCGGUGGCGAAGGCGGUUCUCUGGGAAUGUUCUGACGCUGAGGAGCGAAAGUGUGGGGAGCGAACAGG
rnacentral:rRNA from 1 species